rnacentral:rRNA from 1 species
AUACGGAGGAUCCGAGCGUUAUCCGGAUUUAUUGGGUUUAAAGGGUGCGUAGGCGGCCUUUUAAGUCAGCGGUGAAAGUCUGUGGCUCAACCAUAGAAUUGCCGUUGAAACUGGGAGGCUUGAGUAUGUUUGAGGCGGGCGGAAUGCGUGGUGUUGCGGUGAAAUGCUUAGAUAUCACGCAGAACCCCGAUUGCGAAGGCGGCCUGCCAAGCCAUGACUGACGCUGAUGCACGAAAGCGUGGGGAUCAAACAGGAUUAGAUACCCUGGUAGUCCACGCAGUAAACGAUGAUCACUAGCUGUUUGCGAUACAGUGUAAGCGGCACAGCGAAAGCGUUAAGUGAUCCACCUGGGGAGUACGCCGGCAACGGUGAAACUCAAAUGAAUUGACGGGG